GACGAACGCUGGCGGCGUGCCUAAUACAUGCAAGUAGAACGCUGAAGAGAGGAGCUUACUCUUCUUGGAUGAGUUGCGAACGGGUGAGUAACGCGUAGGUAACCUGCCUUGUAGCGGGGGAUAACUAUUGGAAACGAUAGCUAAUACCGCAUAACAAUGGAUGACACAUGUCACUUAUUUGAAAGGGGCAAUUGCUCCACUACAAGAUGGACCUGCGUUGUAUUAGCUAGUAGGUGAGGUAAUGGCUCACCUAGGCGACGACACAUAGCCGACCUGAGAGGGUGAUCGGCCACACUGGGACUGAGACACGGCCCAGACUCCUACGGGAGGCAGCAGUAGGGAAUCUUCGGCAAUGGGGGCAACCCUGACCGAGCAACGCCGCGUGAGUGAAGAAGGUUUUCGGAUCGUAAAGCUCUGUUGUAAGUCAAGAACGGGUGUGAGAGUGGAAAGUUCACACUGUGACGGUAGCUUACCAGAAAGGGACGGCUAACUACGUG
rnacentral:rRNA from 1 species